rnacentral:lncRNA from 1 species
UGCCUUUGGUUCCGACUUGUCUGUAUCCUGCAGAAUAGACAGAUCAACCUGCUAGAGAAGGAAACGGAGAGAGAGAAGGAGGGAGAGAGAGAGACAGAGAGACAGAGACCGGGGAGGGAGGGGCGAGAGAAGGAGAGAGUUUUGAAGUCCCCCUGGCUUUGAGUUUCCCGUCCCUGGACAGGCAAAGGGAAGGGUCAGGCACCUGCCCUCAGCUCCUAGGGGACUCUCAGGAGCAUCCUUGUCUGCCUAGAUCUGCUGUGGCGAAGAGCUUCACUGGACCUGAGCCUCCGGGUCUAACUCCAUAUGGAAUUUUCUUGGCAAAGAUAUUCAAGAGGUUUGCCAUUUCCUUGCCAGCCCACUUUACAGAUGAGGAAACUGAGGCAAACAAGGUUAAGUGACUUGUGCAGGUCAUACAGCUAGUAAGUGUGUGAGACCAACCCAAUAAACUAUCCACCCCCAAGGAAUUCUCA